rnacentral:rRNA from 1 species
GACGAACGCUGGCGGCGUGCUUAGCACAUGCAAGUCGAGCGGUAAGGCCCUUUCGGGGGUACACGAGCGGCGAACGGGUGAGUAACACGUGGGUGACCUGCCCUCAGCUCUGGGAUAAGCCUGGGAAACCGGGUCUAAUACCGGAUAUGACUCCAUGACGCAUGUUGUGGGGUGGAAAGCCUUGUGCGGCUGAGGAUGGGCCCGCGGCCUAUCAGCUUGUUGGUGGGGNGAUGGCCUACCAAGGCGACGACGGGUAGCCGGCCUGAGAGGGCGACCGGCCACACUGGGACUGAGACACGGCCCAGACUCCUACGGGAGGCAGCAGUGGGGAAUCUUGCGCAAUGGGCGAAAGCCUGACGCAGCGACGCCGCGUGAGGGAUGACGGCCU